rnacentral:rRNA from 1 species
UGGUAGCAAUGCUGGGUUGGGCCAGUGGCGGACGGGUGCGUAACACGUGAGUCAUCUGCCUGAAAGUGGGGGAUAGCUCGCCGAAAGGCGAAUUAAUACCGCAUGUGCCCUGAAGCAAUUCGAGGUAAAGCCGGGGCAACCUGGCGCUUUUAGAGGAGCUCGCGGCCUAUCAGCUUGUUAGUGAGGUAACUGCUUACCAAGGCUUCGACGGGUAGCUGGUCUGAGAGGACGACCAGCCACACUGGAACUGAGAGACGGUCCAGACACCUACGGGUGGCAGCAGUCGAGAAUUUUUCUCAAUGGGGGAAACCUUGAAGGAGCGACGCCGCGUGGAGGAUGAAGGCUUUCGGGUUGUAAACUCCUGUCAUUUGGGAACAAAGCCUUACGUUAACUGCGUCAAGGUGUGAUAGUACCAGAAGAGGAAGAGACGGCUAACUCUGUGCCAGCAGCCGCGGUAAUACAGAGGUCUCGAGCGUUGUUCGGAUUCAUUGGGCGUAAAGGGCGCGUAGGCUGCGGGGCAAGUCGGGUGUGAAAUCUCAGAGCUCAACUCUGAAACUGCACUCGAUACUGCUCUGCUUGAGGACUGGAGAGGAGAUUGGAAUUCUCGGUGUAGCA